CAGUAGCCGCGGUAAUACAGAGGGUGCGAGCGUUAAUCGGAUUUACUGGGCGUAAAGCGUGCGUAGGCGGCUUCUUAAGUCGGAUGUGAAAUCCCUGAGCUUAACUUAGGAAUUGCAUUCGAUACUGGGAAGCUAGAGUAUGGGAGAGGAUGGUAGAAUUCCAGGUGUAGCGGUGAAAUGCGUAGAGAUCUGGAGGAAUACCGAUGGCGAAGGCAGCCAUCUGGCCUAAUACUGACGCUGAGGUACGAAAGCAUGGGGAGCAAACAGGAUUAGAGACCCCAGUAGUCCCUGUCUCUAAUAC
rnacentral:rRNA from 1 species